rnacentral:lncRNA from 1 species
CACAGUGGCUUUACCAGCUUACAUUCCCACCAACAGUGGGUUCGGGUGCCCUUUUCCCCACAUCCUCUCCAACAUUUGUUGUUUGUUGAUUUCUGAAUGAGGACCACUCUAACUGGGGUAAGGUGAAACCUCAUUCUGGUUUUGAUUCACACAAGAUCAUUGCAUAAUUCCAAUUAUAGGAAUGCAGAAUUCAGCUUCCUUGUGGAAUUACGGUACUUCUAGGGGUCUCUCUUCUUCCUUUCCAUGUUAUUGUAACUGCAAACUGUAUUCUCAGGCAAGGCAUUGGUAGUUCACAUAGUGAGACUAUUUGAAUACUUAGAUUUAAAAUAAAAUAAUCAUCUUCUUUAUUUCACAUUUUGUUUUUAAAAAUUAUAUUAGUAAUUUCUUAUUUAAUUUUGCAGCAAGGAAUUUAGAAUAAUUAUUAUUAGCUUCUUUGCUCAAUGCUUCCUAUUGUUAUACCAUUAGGUAAUAUUCACCUCCCUCUUUUUUUAUGCCCUAUUAAAAUUUCAGCUGGUAACUUAUCUUGUCCAAAGAUAAGGAAAUCUUAGAACAGUGUACUGUAACAGCAAUUGAUCAAUUUUAUUUCUUCUUGUAAUUCAGUUUUUAGACAUCAUGGUUUUUAAAAAAUUGAAUCACUAGUUUCAUGACAUUUACAAAAAGGAAGACAACUAUUAUAGAUACACACAUAGAAUGACCCACCAGAUAAUAGUAGAUAAACACAGAUAGAUUCAAUGAGGCAGUAUUUUUAAAUCAUUUAUAAAAGGUUAUUGCUCUAUCAUGUUAGAAUUGUUGGCAGCCACUUAUUCAGGUUCCAUUUCUAGUUUUUGUUAGAGAAUUCACUAACCUCUUGCAAUGAAGAUGGUAAUACAACCAUUCAUCCUGCAAAAGUAGCUAAAUCAUUGAGAUAUUUAGUUAUCAUUAUUUAUGAAGGGAAGGAAUAAAAACAGAUUUUUCCCUUCUAGGUUCAGAAACCAGCAAAUUAUAAAAAGUAAGCAAUGCUUAUAGUUAUAAAAAUGAAAGUACACGCUCUUGCUAAAUCUUUUUAUAGCACUAUAGUACAACCAGACACUGUGGUCUUCUACUUGGAUUCUUUAGGUAUUGUAAAGCCCAUUAGAGUCAAAGAAUCCUAGCUCAUCUUUCAAAAAUUGCCUGUGACUAUUUCAGCACCACACAUUAGAAGUAUGAUAGAUGAGUGAGUCGGAAUAGCAAAGGACAGCUAUUUUAACUAAUUGUGUUAAAUUAAAUUAUUUGGGUAAAUUUCACAAACACAAACCACCUUCUAAAUAAAUUGAAAGAGCCUUUCCUCA